rnacentral:rRNA from 1 species
GAUGAACGCUGGCGGCGUGCCUAAUACAUGCAAGUCGAGCGAACAGACGAGGAGCUUGCUCCUCUGACGUUAGCGGCGGACGGGUGAGUAACACGUGGAUAACCUACCUAUAAGACUGGGAUAACUUCGGGAAACCGGAGCUAAUACCGGAUAAUAUAUUGAACCGCAUGGUUCAAUAGUGAAAGACGGUUUUGCUGUCACUUAUAGAUGGAUCCGCGCCGCAUUAGCUAGUUGGUAAGGUAACGGCUUACCAAGGCGACGAUGCGUAGCCGACCUGAGAGGGAGAGGGAGCAAACGGGAAAAAAGACACGGUAAAGAAACAAACGGGAGGCAGCAGUAGGGAAUCUUCAGAAAUGGGCGAAAGACUGAAGGAGAAACGCAGAGUGAGUGAUGAAGGUAGUAGGAUAGUAAAACUCUGUUAUUAGGGAAGAAAAAAUGAGUAAGUAACUAUGCAAGUAUUGAAGGUACCUAAUCAGAAAGACAAGGCUAACUACGUG